CCAAACUGUUGCCUCGGCGGGGUCACGCCCCGGGUGCGUAAAAGCCCCGGAACCAGGCGCCCGCCGGAGGAACCAACCAAACUCUUUCUGUAGUCCCCUCGCGGACGUAUUUCUUACAGCUCUGAGCAAAAAUUCAAAAUGAAUCAAAACUUUCAACAACGGAUCUCUUGGUUCUGGCAUCGAUGAAGAACGCAGCGAAAUGCGAUAAGUAAUGUGAAUUGCAGAAUUCAGUGAAUCAUCGAAUCUUUGAACGCACAUUGCGCCCGCCAGUAUUCUGGCGGGCAUGCCUGUCCGAGCGUCAUUUCAACCCUCGAACCCCUCCGGGGGAUCGGCGUUGGGGAUCGGGACCCCUCACCGGGUGCCGGCCCUGAAAUACAGUGGCGGUCUCGCCGCAGCCUCUCCUGCGCAGUAGUUUGCACAACUCGCACCGGGAGCGCGGCGCGUCCACGUCCGUAAAACACCCAACUUCUGAAAUGUUGACCUCGGAUCAGGUAGGAAUACCCGCUGAACUUAAGCAUAUCAAUAAGUCGGAGGAAA
rnacentral:rRNA from 1 species